AACGAUGUAUAUUAUUUAAAAAAAAGAAAACUCUCCUGCCAGGUAAUUAAUUAAGAUAAUACAAGAAAUUAAAUUAGAAAAAACAAUAAAUGUGUUCACAAAUUGCUGCAACUAGAUCAAAUCGAAAACCAUCUAAUCGCCAAUACACUAUUUCUCUUGUUGUGUUUUCCUUAACUUGUCUCGGUCGGCAAGAUUGUGAGUGUCUGGUUGCAUGUUGCUUGCUUUGCAUUCUCUAUACAGUUUGUCUUCCUAGGUCAUAUUUUGAAGCACUAGUUUUCUUUAAUAU
rnacentral:lncRNA from 1 species